ACAGGAAAAAAAUAAAACAAACACACAAAAAACCCAAUUAAUCAAACAAGAAAACAUAAACCAAUAAAACCUAAACUAAUAGAAAAACUAAUUCUGCUCAAAUGCAAUGUGUCCAUGCAUCCUGUAAUCAGCCUUCUGUUCUAUAAGCAGCAUUAUAAUUACGUCCGCCAAGUAGGUUAUGUGAUCGCCUGGGUUUGUGUGUGGACUGUGUGUGUUCGUUCACUGCUAUUUCACGGACUGCCACAGGGUGCGCGAGGUGAAUUGAGCACUGAGCACACUGGUGAAUAUCCCCUACUGCCGCACUCUCACGGCCUCACACAGGGUCGGUGUGUAUAGGGGAUAACGGACUGUCUUGCAACGUUUUGGAUGCCAGCUGCCGUUAAAACUGGAUCUAAAUAGGGUUUCUGCGAUGAACAGUCAACACUAGAGCUCAUUUUAUUUUGCGUGCACCCUCAGAGUUCGUCAAUGCCAAAUGCCCGCUGAUGCAUCAAACUUCUCUGACAUUCAUGAGCCCCAAAAGAUGCGUAUCCGACUAUUUGAUAUUAAAUAAUCACAGGAGACUAUGGGGCUUGCCUGUCCAGAGAACAGAAGCGCUGGCAGCUUGGAUUGAAAUAGCUUUAAGCCAAAGAUAUACCCACAUCGUGGGGGAAAAACACUCGUCAUAUAGCCUUUACGGCCGUGAAUGAUGUAGGCCUACAUGUCGUGCUGCGCUGAUGUUACACAGAAGUUCUGAACAGGCCAGCGUCUAAGACUCAGUGCUUUUAUGUUUCAUUACGCUAUUCAUCUCGGUCCACGCAUGUGGAUGUGCAUGUCUGUUAGUUCGUUUUAAGUUUAAGAACCAUCAUCCAUUAAUAACUGUACUGUAUUCUUAAGGCUUGCAAAUGACAGAACACUGCCAUGAAUGUGUCAUUUUGACAUUUUGAUAGCAGGAAUAUGUUGACAAAGGCUAGAAUUGCAAUCUAUGACCUGCCUUGGCGGAGGUGCGGUCUCUGAGCACUUUUCUAGUUACCAUUAUUGCUACGGUUAAGUAAAUACUUUCUAUACAAAUGCAAAUGGAUGUAAGCCUUGAUGCAUCUAGUUUAAUCAGGCUAUGUAGCUAUUAUAGAGUAGCACACAAUAUUUGGUGAAAAUCCACCCACCCGACCAACCCAAAAGUAGUGACCACGCAAAAAAACACGGAUGAAUGCAUAUAUUCUAUGGCCCAAAGUUUAAUAGGCCUACCUGUAUUAAAUUUCCAUUUGUAUGUAUUUCCAAUGUAGAAUUUGACCUUUAAACCUUAAAUGUACAGGACAGUGAAGAAAUGACAGGAAACAAGAUAGAGUAAGACGGUGAAGUGCUGGGAAAUUACUUGAAUCUGGGUCCCCACCAGACAGGUGCACCAGCGCGCUGUGCCACACCCACACCUGAAUUCGAUCUCUGAUGUCACCCAAUGACAACACUAUAGGCCUGACCACAAAAUGAGAUACAUAGAAUAACCAUCAGCUGUGUUGUGCUGUACUCAGUAUUAGCAACAUCUGAAUUAUAAGGCAUGGAAGGGAAGAGAAGAGAUUCCAGCCCAGAAUAAUAUGCAAAAACUACACAAAGAAUUGAAGAAUAGAGACGUAUGAUGCUUGCUGAAAUGGCCUUUUCCCCUUUAAAUUGACAUCACAUUUAGGGCUAUUUUAAAGGAUUUACAUGUGUACUCUUGCUGGAAACUUGCAAUAAGAUCCUUGUAAUACUGCUAAGCCAAAUCUAAUUCAGGCCCCAGUGCAUUGCCAGAAAACUGAAAGAGUAUGCAAAGGCACCCGUUUAGUGGUACACAACGUCUUCAGACUGUAUUUCAUUUUCAAAUCCAGAGCAUACCAGACAGUAAACACAGUAUCAAUUAAUCAUAAAUAACAACAAUCCCAAGUGGAAACCAGAGAGCAGCAAGCACAUGCCCAAAUCAAGUAGGAACCGAUUUGCUGACUGGGCUCAAGUGAGGAUACAUAAAGCCGCAGCCUCGGAGAAGUCCUGUAACAGAGUAUCACACUCAUACUCAUGCAAAGGUCUGGGAGACUCUUCAGACCAAUCAUGCUGAUGGAAGCCACAAGAGUGUUUCUUUUGUUCACAGUCCCAUGGUAUUGCCAAGAAAUGCUGAAAUGAAGGGCUUCUGGUCUGUAGGCCUCUACCUCUGCAAGCAUGAGAGAGCAAACUGAGGCCCAGACUGAACCCUUUGAUGAAACAGGUGUGUAUGUGGCUGGUGACUAAAGGCAUCAUGCCAUUACAACUUGAAAUUAAGGAACAGUCAGAGCCUUAUGGCAGUGAGGAUAGUGAGUCAAUGUCAAAUGACCAGUGGUUUGGAUUAAAGGAUAAGUCUCUCAGGAUAAGUCUCUCAGACCCUUUUCUGAGUUGCCUGCAAUGUAAUAGAAUGAUUCUUACCGUAAUGUUGAUGUUUGCCUCUGUCUAUUAUUUUGUUCAUUUUGCAUUUUGUCUCAGCCUACUUCAAAAUGUAUGGUUGUAUUAAAUUACUUCUCUAUACUGUUUAUAGUGUAGCGUUACGGGUCCAUACAUAUGCAACUUUCACAAAAGUAUGAUUGCUCAUGAAAAUGCAGCAUAUAUGUAUACAGUGCAUAUUUCACAAUAUAUAUCACUAGUUUGCCCUUUGAUUGGUGUACAGGAAAGCAUGUUUGAUAGCUGCCCUCAGUCCUGGAAUGCUUUAAUUGGAGAUCAUGCCGCAUGAGAUUUACUCCUAGCCUCCUACAGUGUUGCCAGAUUGGGUUUCCCAGGGCUGGUUCUAGUCCAUUUAGUGCCCUAGAAAAGUGGUUCUUAACCUGGGGUGCGGGCACCCCCUGGGGGUGCGCCAGAGAUUCCAGGGGGUGCGCGGAAUUUUGUUUGUGUUUAGGUAAUGACCAAAAUUGAGCUGGGAACAUUUUAAUUAGGUCAAAACAAACCAAAUGUAUCAUGUUUUGGUCCCCAUUUGGUGUCUAAUGCGAGAAUAAUUAGUAAUUAAUCACUUAAAUCAUCUUUUACACGUAUACCGUGUAGAAGUUUGGGAGGUUGGGGGUGCGCGGCUUAACUUGGGCACAGGUAGGGGGGUGCUUUAAGAAAAAAAGGUUAAGAACCACUGCCCUAGGCGAGCAUGCCCUUAUCCUUUGUGCAUUUAGACAUUAGCGUCUGAUCUGACUGAAUACAGAUCUAUUACCUACAUAUACGGAGUGCCCAUGACAACAUUGUCAAUGUAAGGUCUAAUGUUUUAUUUGCUUUCUAAUUCUGUGGGACCUUUGGGCUUUAUGGUGCCCCCGAGAUAUUUGGUGCCCUAGGCGACUGCCUUUUCUGCCUAUGCCUCACGUCAGCCCUGGGGUUUCCUGCCUCCCUGUGUGUAUAGAGUCGAGAUAGUGGGACCACUAGUGAAAUGGAGGAGCAUGGAGAGGAGGAGGUACAAUUCGAGAGCCUUCGCGCAUGACAAGAGAAUGAGCAGGAGGGAUUAAAUCUCAGAGAAGGCGGGAGAAGUAGGCAGCUUUCAAUCAUUCCCCGGUCUCCUCCCAAAUUGUUUUUUAAAAACAUUUUCUUUUUGUUGAGGAAAGGAUCAUCAUUGUGAACACAAUUAAUGUGUAUAUGAAUAAUUUCAUGUAAUAGUUUUAUUGUUAUUCAAUGUUUGACAAAAACAUUUGGACAUUAUAAUUAAAUGAUAUUAUAAUUAUGGCAGAAACAUAUUGACUAGGGGUGUAACGGUAUACAAAAAUCACGGUUUGGUACUCGGUUUUUGGGGUCACGGUUUGCUACAUUUUCGGUACAGUAUAAUUAUAUUAAAGGAAAAUACAUUCAAGCUGCUACUUUGGGUCGGAGAUUUCAGUGUAAGAAAUAGAACUUUUCUCAAAGUCUCAUAAAGAACAAGCCCCUACACCUGGUUUUUUUUUCUUGCAUUCUCUCUCAGUGUUCUGUAUGAGCCACUGCAUGUAGUGGCAGCAUAAUGUAAAAACAUGAACAAAGUUGCCUGUCGAACUACCUUUCGGUACAGCACUGUUCGGUUCGGUACAGGUCUGUUCGGUUCGGUACAAAUACAAUACAGUGUACCUUUACAGGCCUAAUAUUGACAUAAUUAAAAGAGGUGCUAUUACAUUUAAAUCCUGUUUGACUUUGAAGCGUACUAUGAUAACUUUUUUGUUUUUUUUGCAUUUAGUGUAAGCUAACAGGGAUGAGCAAAAAUACGCCACAAAGUAUUUCCAAAUACAAUUCAACUAAAAGUCAAACGCACUAUAUAAGUUACAAAACACAUUUGUAGUGGUUUAUUUUGCAUUUGAAUAUUUAUUUUUCAUUUUCAAAAUACAUAUCGAUCAUCUCUAGGGUUGUGGGUGUGUUCUGAUUGUCAUGCCAGUAAGUCUGGCUCUUUAGUGUAGCCGUCAGAGCCCCAGUUUGGUAUGCCAGAAGGUUUGCCGUCGAGUCCCGGCAGGGCAAUUCUACUCUACAUCUCUUCACUUCACAAACAGUGGCUUGUAAGAAUUAACCAACAGUUAAAUGAAUGUGAUGAUUGUAUUCAGUUAAACAACAACAAAAUGUACUUUAAUUCACACAAACUCCUGUAUAACCAUGAUUUCCAAUCAUUGAAUGCACAAUAAUGUUCAGAUCUUGCCAUUAUGGUGAAGGCUGUAAAAACAAUGGGCCACUUGUGUAACUUUCAGCACAACUAGCUCUUUAAAGCUUUUUUGCAAACUUCGCUAAUGCACCAAUUGUGGUCUUAAAGAACCAUUUUGUGGGUGAUACAUGGAGCAGCAUUAGUAAUGAUCUUGGUAACAACUUUGGUGCUUUGAAUGGUAAAUUGAAUUAUUGGUGGUAUGUCACCAAGAUUGGUAUUUCUUAAUUCGAAACACAAUCAUAAUAAAUAGGGAGGGUUUUUUUUUUUUUACUGGUAAUUGUUUAAUAAAAAAGUCACCUACAGGGGUUGGACAAAACAUUGCACCAGUAAGGUGAAGUGUGAAGAUUCAAUUAGCAGGGUAAGACUAAGAGCACAGUUUUGCUCAAAUGUUUGCAAUGCACAACAUUAUGGGUUACAUAAAGGAGUUCAAAAAGGAGAAAUUCAAACAAAUAAUCAUGUCAACCUUGAUUUUACUGUACUGUAGAUACCUGUAGCUUGUGGUUGAUACAAAAUAUGAAAAUGAUCAACAACAUUAAAGACUGAACUAUGAGAGAAAAAAAAUUAGGUAAAGCUCCCGGAGCUCCUGGAAACCUAAUUUGACGCAAAUAUGAUAAAUAACAAAUGGGAAUCACCUUUGAUAGAUUGAUUUUGUCCAUAGGACAUACAUUAGCCAAUGAAUGAAGAUAAGGGAGCUGUCUGGUGACACCCGAAAUACAAUUGUUUUCAAAAACAAGACCUCCAAUAAAAGGUCAUCUCAAAAGGCCUUGACCGCAUCACAGGUAUCAUGACAGGCGUCACAGGUAUCACAGGACAAUGUUUAACCCUGUGCAAGAACACUUGGUUUGAGGUGAAGAUCAUGUGCACUCCAGCAAGAGAAAAACCCAUAGCACACAUCUAAAAGCACAGUGAUGGUUGAACUUUAUUACAUGCUCUUAGCCCAAUAGGCAGAUACACAACAUAUACAUAAAAUAGGCAGGACAAGAAAAGGAAGAGAAAAAAAAACAAGCAAUGAAGCCAAAGCAAAUACAAACAUACCCUCUGUCGUGACAGUCUUAAAGGCAGUCAUAUCAAUGCUUCCACAUAUGAUUGAUAUCUGACAGAGCUGCAUCUGGCACCUGGGAGAAUUAUUACAAUACAGUUUUCAGAUUUAUCCAGACGACACAGGAACUUAAACAUUAGCUUCCUCAAAUAGCCUGUAAAGUACAG